GAUGAACGCUGGCGGCGUGCCUAACACAUGCAAGUCGAGCGAUUUACUUCGGUAAAGAGCGGCGGACGGGUGAGUAACGCGUGGGUAACCUGCCCUGUACACACGGAUAACAUACCGAAAGGUAUGCUAAUACGAGAUAAUAUGCUUUUAUCGCAUGGUAGAAGUAUCAAAGCUCCGGCGGUACAGGAUGGACCCGCGUCUGAUUAGCUAGUUGGUAAGGUGACGGCUUACCAAGGCGACGAUCAGUAGCCGACCUGAGAGGGUGAUCGGCCACAUUGGAACUGAGACACGGCCCAGACUCCUACGGGAGGCAGCAGUAGGGAAUUUUCGGCAAUGGGGGAAACCCUGACCGAGCAACGCCGCGUGAGCGAAGAAGGCCUUCGGGUCGUAAAGCUCUGUUGUAAAGGAAGAACGUCGCAUGCAGGAAAUGGUGUGCGAGUGACGGUACUUACCAGA
rnacentral:rRNA from 1 species